rnacentral:tRNA from 4 species
GCCGCCCUAGCUCAAUGGCAGAGCAACUGUUUUGUAAACAGUAGGUUGUGGGUUCGAAUCCGACGGGCGGCU